rnacentral:rRNA from 1 species
UACGGGGGGGGCAAGCGUUGUUCGGAAUUACUGGGCGUAAAGGGCUCGUAGGUGGCCAACUAAGUCAGACGUGAAAUCCCCAGGCUCAACUUGGGAACUGCGUCUGAUACUGGAUGGCUUGAAUCCGGGAGAGGGAUGCAGAAUUCCAGGUGUAGCGGUGAAAUGCGUAGAUAUCUGGAGGAAUACCGGUGGCGAAGGCGGCAUCCUGGACCGACAUUGACGCUGAUGAGCGAAAGCUAGGGGAGCAAACGGG